rnacentral:ncRNA from 1 species
ACGAUAGAGGCGCAGUUAUCAAGAGUAACCGCGGUGGAAGAGGCGUUCGCAGCGCCGUUGCCGCCGGUGAAAGGGGUCGCUGCCGAAGUGGGGCCGGCGAAGCUCUGCUGGGCAAACGGAAAACAUCCGUUUGACUGUCGCAUUUGCGGAGUGCUUGCGGAGUGCUAUGGU